rnacentral:lncRNA from 1 species
GCACUCAAGGCGCGUGGGCCUGUGUCCCGCCUGCAGGGGACACUGUACACUGGGGCUUGCUCCCCAACAGCCGGCCGGGGUCUGUUUGACAGCCUCUUCUCUUCUCCGAGCGCUUCACGCCUUCCUGACGCCUGCUACUUCCCGGGCACUCUGACUGGUGCACUCCUGGGCGGGAGCUUCCUGCUGCUGGGUCUACACCCGCGAGGGUUCCAGCUCCCUCCUGCCGAGCCAGCCGCAUUCCUCAGGAGAGCUUUCUGCAAAUCAGCCCACGCUAAGUGUCCAGACGACAAGAACCUGCCCAGCCAUCCCCGCGAACAUCUGUGGCGAGCCCGCAGGAGAAGAGGACCAGCGGCCAGUGCCGAGCAACCUGGCCCUGAGGGGCGCUCCACGCCAGCCCGCCUCUCCCUUCCUUGUCUUUGUGCUCGGCGGCAGCCAGAGCCUCCGUGCCGCUCCCAAGCAGGCACGGGUGGAGCAGUUAGGUGCUGCUGGGGUGCUCACUGCUAUAGAGCGCCCGUAACGGGUUCAAUGCCCUUCCCCACCAAUGUCAGGAAAGAAGGGGAAGUGCGGGGGCUGCAGCUGGCCACACAGGGCUCCCACCUGAGCCGGAGAGAGGCCCCAAUCCAUGAACCCUCUCCAAGCCGCUGGCCACUUUCGCCCUCUCUGCAGCUUAUGGGAUCUCGACCGCAGGAGUCUCCGAUUCUCUGCUGCUUUGUUCAUGCCGCAUCUCCCUGCCCUAGCAAUGGGCUCAGACGCCGAGAACCAAGGUUUCUUCUGUGCUGCUGCAACUGACUUAGGUAAUAAGUUUCCAUGAAUCUUGAAGAUUUUGUGUUUUCCCGUUGCUGGUUCUGAGCCUUGAAUGGGAAACUGAGUCAGUCUGUCUGUCUGUCUCUCUCUCUCUCUCUCUCUCCCUCCCUCUCUCCCUCUCUUUCUCCCUCCCUCCCUCCCUCCCUCCCUCUCCCCACUUCUUUUCUUUCAAAAGGCAGAGUUACAGAGAGGCAGAGACAGAAAGAGAGAGAGAGAGAGAGAGAGAGAGGUCUUCCAUCCACUGGUUCACUCCACAGAUGGCUGCAACAGCCAUAGCUGAGCCAAUCUGGACCAGGAGCCAGGAGCUUCUUCCAGGUCUCCCACACAGGUGCAGGGGCCCAAGGUCCUUGGCCAUCUUCUACUGCUUUCCCAGGCCAUAGCAGAGAGCUGGAUGGGAAGUGGAGCAGCCGAGACUUGAACCAGUGCCCAUAUGAGAUGCCGGCACUGCAGGUGGCGGCUCCACCGGCCAUACCACAUGGCAGCCCGGGAAACUGAGUCUUAGAGGAGUUUGCAUUAUCUGCCUAUUUUGACUUCUGCCUGUUGAGUGAUUUCCUUAAUCCUGGCCCGCAGCUUUGGUUAAAAUGCUCAGGUUAAAUGUAUGAUUUUAUUUUGACCAGAUGGUUUGACCUCCUGACAAUCCUUUAAAGUUCUAAACUGAAUCUUCUGACUUUGGGGCUUCCAGGUAGAUCCCUGGAAUCUCACCAUUAUCUGAAUUAAUUUUAAGGUCAAAAUUACAUUUCCAUGUUUUUAAUAACUGGUAAGGGUAAGAGUAAUACCUCCUUAGCAGCAAACACAAGCAUUAGUGUAUGUUAGCAACUUUGAAAAUACCUUCAUCCACUUAAAAAAAUAAGUUUAGGGUCUGGUGCUGUGGCAUAGCAGUAAAGCCACCACCUGCAGUGCCAGAAUCCCAUAUGGGCGCCGGUUCAAGUCCUGGCUGCUCCUCUUCCAAACCAGCUCUCUGCUAUGGCCUGGGAGAGCAGUGGAAGAUGGCCUGAGUCCUUGGGCCCUGCACCUUCAUGGGAGAGCCGGAAGAAACUCCUGGCUCCUGAAUUUGGGUCGGCGCAGCUCUGGCCAUUGCGGCCAUUUGGGGAGUGAACCGGUGCAUGGAAGACCUCUCUCUCCCUCUCUCCCCCUCUCUCUAACUCUACCUCUCAAACAAAUAAAUAAAAUCUUAAAUUAAAAAAAAAGAAAAGA